CCAAACGAGCCUUAUAAAUUUUUACAAAUUUACUUUAUACGUGGCGAGGACUCCGAACGGGCACUCGCCAAUCGCGUGAAUACACGUUGCAACUAUAAUCACCUCAAUUCACCAUUUGCAACGCGCAUUGUCAACGAGCUGGACGCUCUGUUAAAUGAGCACAACGAAUUGUUGAAAUUAUUCAAAUCACAUAUGCAUAAGCUACAAAGUGACAAUCACGCUAUUUUCAUCAAUCCUGAUAGAACACCAGCUGGAGGGCAUAUACGUCGAUUCAACGCACCUGUUGUUGACGACGUGGCUGGAAUCAUGGUUGGCGACCAUACAGCUACGCGACAAAUCGUGAUUCGAAGAAAAUAUGAUGCUCUCCAAUAUCCACUCAUUUUUGGAAGGGACAAGACGGAUAUUGCACAAACCUUAAGCAACGAGAUCCGGUAACAGGAACCGAAACAAACAAGAAUAUUAGCUCAAAGGAUUUCUAUUCGUUUCGGUUGAUGAUUAGACGUGGUCAGGAUAAUAUCAUUCUACGAUGUCGUGAGCUUUGCCAACAAUUUAUGGUCGAUAUGUACGUCAAGAUAGAGAGUGAAUGACUACGAUACUUGCGAUUUAUGGAUAUAAUAUGGAUAAUAUGGACGACCUUGCUUUUUUAUUACUUUUACAUGUAAUCCAAAAUGGCAGGAAAUUACAUCGUUAUUACCUGGACAAAGUGCAAUACAUCGUCAUGACAGGGCAUGUGAACAUGCGCGUUCAAACGCUUCAGGAUCCAUCCGCCGAAACUUUUUCGAAACAGCUAUUAGAUAUUGGCAAUGGGAAAGUUGUCGUACAUGAAAAUACUGGAUCAAUAAAAUUACCAACCGGUUUUUGCACAAUCGUCCACUCGCAAGAUGUUCUCAUCGACUGUAUAUUUCCCGAUGUACACACACAAUAUAUAAAUCUUGAGUGGCUGGCAGAAAGAGCCAUUUUAGCAGCGAAAAAUGUGGACGUUCAUGGAUUAAAUUUCAAGAUACAACAAUUGUUGCCAACAGACUCUGUGUCAUACAAAUCUGUUGAUACAGUUUGCAAUACUAUCGAAGCUGUAAAUUACCAAGUAGAAUUUUUGAAUUCCUUGGAUUUGCCAGGCAUGCCAUCGCACCACUUACAAUUGAAAGUAGGAUCUCCGGUGAUUUUGCUCCGUAACUUGAACCCACCACGGCUGUGCAAUGGCACACGAUUGGUUAUUAAAAAAUUAAUGAAGAACGUGAUUGAGGCCACCAUUUUAAAUGGCAAGUUUCAAGCUAAAAGGUAACACGAAAUUCUUUGACUGUUAGGCGUUACGAAGUUCGCCGGGUUU